CCUAGGCUAAAGUCGGAUUUUUACUAGAAUAAAGUCCUUCAUUUUUGAUCGGCAAAAAACAACAGAAGCCAAUAAAAAAAAAGGGGGGGGGGGGGGGAAAAGUCAUUUUUGAGUUGUAAGUUGUAAAGAAAAACAUUGCGAUCAUACUGCACAAUGUAUAAUGAGGAUCAAUUUGUAUUUUUAAUCUGAAAGAAUGACACUUGUAACUAUUCUCAUGGCACAUGAUUUUUCUAUGCCACGUGUCCCUAAUCCUCCAAGGUGCACGUCCAACACUGCUGUUGAAUGAAUUUACCAAUGAAAUACCUCUUUCAGGUGUAAGCACUGAGGCCUAAACUACAAACUAUUAGAUUGUAUUUU